AUCACCAAAAUAAAGGUGUGCUUUGAGGCUAUUUUUCGUAGGAAACAAGAAAGAAGAGGCAAGGGACUUAAGCAUUAGGGUUUUAGGAUCAAAGGUAGCUUUUCAUUAUUGGAAUGGUGAUGGAGGGGCUGAUUCUCCCUAUUAAUUAGAACAGCCAUGCUGGAAUUUAAGUAAACGAUGAAAAGAAGAGAAAUGGUUUUAUUUCGGUUUCUUAUAAUUGAAAGGAAGAUGAACGAACAUUACAAUGUUACACGCCAUUUACUUUCUCUUUAUCUCCAUAAGCACUAUUUAAGGUUUCUUUUACCAGUAUACCUGCUUGAGCUUCCAAUUACAUGGGGGCUGCCAAAUCCACUUCCAUUCAAUACAGCCUUUUGAUGACACUCUUCUUUCUAGGAAAUGUUAGUUAUUUCCCCUGGCCAUCUCCCAUUUAGCAUUAGGCUUUGAAGUUUGAGUGUAUGUGUGUGUGUUUUGGUCCCCUGAAUGACUUAUCUAUUCUGUUUUAACCUAUUUGCAGCAUCUGAAAAUAUAGUUCUUAUCUUCCUUCGAUCAGGUUCUUAUGUCUUUUAAUCUUGAAUCCGUAUUAUUCAUGUACUCUUAUUGUUCAUCAUGGUUCUAUUUAUAUAUUCGUUGCUUCUUUACCGAACUUUUUGGAAAUUGCAGGUGCUUUUGUCACAAAAACACAAUUGACAUGGGCUACAUAUGCUCUGUUUGUCUGUCUAUAUUUUGUAAGCAUCACAAGAAUUGUUCAACGUGUGGGUCAGUUUUUGGUCAGGCUCAAACAAAUGCUCCAUCGACAUCGAAUCAGAAGAGAAAGACUCCUGAGACUUGAGUCUUGACCCUCCUGAAAAUGAAACGGAUUUGUUGCUGAUAUUCAGACACGUGAAUAGAGAGGAAUCAGUGUUCUUCUUCCCUCUUUCCCUCGACGUGGUGGUAUUUACGUUGAUAAAGAAAAAUCUG